rnacentral:rRNA from 1 species
CGGACGGGUGAGUAACACGUGGAUAACCUACCUAUAAGACUGGGAUAACUUCGGGAAACCGGAGCUAAUACCGGAUAAUAUAUUGAACCGCAUGGUUCAAUAGUGAAAGACGGUUUUGCUGUCACUUAUAGAUGGAUUCGCGCCGCAUUAGCUAGUUGGUAAGGUAACGGCUUACCAAGGCAACGAUGCGUAGCCGACCUGAGAGGGUGAUCGGCCACACUGGAACUGAGACACGGUCCAG